CCGGGCUUAGCUCAGUUGGUAGUAGCGGUGGACUGUAGUUGUUAUAAAGGUAAAACUGCAAAAAAUUUGAUUGUGGUCAAACCUUUAAAGAUAUCCAUAGGUCGCUGGUUCAAGUCCGGCAGCCCGGA
rnacentral:tRNA from 1 species